UACGUAGGGGGCAAGCGUUGUCCGGAUUUAUUGGGCGUAAAGAGCGUGUAGGCGGCUUGACAGGUCUGCUGUGAAAACUCGAGGCUCAACCUCGAGAUGUCGGCGGAAACCGUCUGGCUAGAGUCCGGAAGAGGAGAGUGGAAUUCCUGGUGUAGCGGUGAAAUGCGCAGAUAUCAGGAGGAACACCGGUGGCGAAGGCGGGUCUCUGGGCCGUAACUGACGCUGAGGAGCGAAAGCGUGGGGAGCAAACAGG
rnacentral:rRNA from 1 species